GAUGAUUUGAGAGAAUAGCACUGAAACAUGUAUAUUAUCAUAUGUGAAACAGACUGCCAGCCUAGGUUCAAUGCAUGAGACAGGGUGCUCAGGGCUGAUACAAUGGGAUGACCCAGAGGGUUGGGAUGGGAAGGGGUGGGGGGGCUUCAGGAUGGGGAACACAUGUACACCCAUGGCUGAUUCAUGUCAUUGUAUGGUAAAAACCACUACAAUAUUGUAAAGUAAUUAGCCUCCAAUUAAAAUAAAUAAAUUACUUUUAAAAAAGGAAAUAAGAAUUCCAAUAAUUAUUUUAAUUUUGACUUUAUAGUAUGCUAUCCCUGGCCUCCAUGAGAUAAUGGCACUUCAUUUGAUAUGUGAAGGAUGAAGAGGAGGUGAAUGACAAAGAGUAGGAAAGAGGAUUCCAGACACAAGGAACCAUUAUGAAGUGAGAAUGAACAUGGUAUGUGGAUAAACAGGAAGUGACUUCUCAAUUUGAUAGAACUUUAAAAUCAGAGAUGCAUUUACUUCCUUCUUUAAGUGCUCUUUACAAUUCUUUAAAUCUUUAAUUUCUUUAAAAUAGAAUUUGCCAGUAAAGAAUACAAUGAUAUCCUUCUAUUCAGAUAGGAAAGGAGCUGAAGUUGCUCAGUCGUGUCUGACUCUUUGCGACUCCAUGGACUGUAGCCCACCAGGCUUCUCCAUCCACGGAAUUUUCCAGGCAUGAGUACUGGACUGGGUUGCCACUGCCUACUCCAGGGGAUCUUCCUGACCCAGGGAUUGAACCCAGGUCUCCCGCAUUGCAGACAGACACUUUACCAUCUGAGCUACCAGGGAAUCUCCCAGGAAAGGAGCCUCCCCCCCGCACCCACCCCAGCACUGAAGAAGCACAGGUGACAAAGGAGACUUGUGGAUUGAGUACAACUGACUCUUCAUCUGACAUCAGCCUCAGCUUCUUUACCUGCACUUUAGCCUUGAAGAAUCUUGCCACCCAGUUUGGAAGAAAGAGAGACAGAGCUCUGGGAUCACUUUACUGGAUGUCACCUGUUCUGUGCGGGAGGAAGAUCACACUCUGCCUUGAAACCCAGAAAUAAAAAAGUUUCCAGUUCCUCUUCAUUAUGGUUCUGAACAGCUGAACUUAGGCUCUGAAGUGCUAUUUUCCCAGUCUUCUCAGAAACAUGAUGACUUUAUCAGAGAUUAUGGAUGGAAGGCUCAAUUGUCACUGAGCUAGAUGGAGCCAGAAAUGACUUGGAUUUCAAGUAGAAUUGAAGAAUUUCUUUUGGAACCAAUGACAG
rnacentral:lncRNA from 1 species